AGGAUGAACGCUAGCGACAGGCCUAACACAUGCAAGUCGAGGGGCAGCGCUGAGUAGCAAUACUUUGGCGGCGACCGGCGCACGGGUGAGUAACACGUAUGCAACCAACCCAUAACAGGGGGAUAACCCGGAGAAAUCCGGACUAAUACCGCAUAGGACCACGAUAUCGCAUGAUAUAGAGGUCAAAUAUUUAUAGGUUAUGGACGGGCAUGCGUCUGAUUAGCUGGUCGGCGGGGUAACGGCCCACCAAGGCAUCGAUCAGUAGGGGUUCUGAGAGGAAGGUCCCCCACAUUGGAACUGAGACACGGUCCAAACUCCUACGGGAGGCAGCAGUGAGGAAUAUUGGACAAUGGAUGGAAAUCUGAUCCAGCCAUGCCGCGUGAAAGAAGGAGGUCCUAUGGAUUGUAAACUUCUUUUGUAUGGGAGCAAUAAGGCCUACGAGUAGGUUGAUGAGAGUACCAUACGAAUAAGCACCGGCUAACUCCGUGCCAGCCGCAGC
rnacentral:rRNA from 1 species